rnacentral:lncRNA from 1 species
AAUCCAAAUCCAUAAGUAGUUUCAAUUGAAACUGAUUAAUCAGUUAGUAUCUAAGAUAAGUUUGGCAGUCUUGACUAAUGAUUUUUAAUUGAGAGCUACUCACAUAGAUUGAGUCUAUGAUGAGUUAAUGGCAUAUCUCUCCCACCAAUCUCACUUAUCUGAUCAAUAUGGUGAAUCAAGUUUUGAUCAGAUUGCUUAAUGAUUAGGGUUGACCCAUGCUUACUAAGAAAUCAGUUCGACUGAUUUUGGUGCCCCU